GUUUUUUCAUUCAGCUUGCAGAUUUUAGGGUUACAAUACAUAGGAUUUUAAGAAAAUAGUGCCAUGAUAAUCUGGAUGGCUGGGGAUAUGAUAUGUGCUGCAUAUCAUGUGCUUUUGGUCUAGCUUUAAGAUUAUAAUGUUCACAAGAUUUAGGAUAUUGGAAAAUAUUACUGUUAGCAUCUACGCAUGUUAUCACAGUACUAUUGUUUGGUUCAAGUUAUUUUGAAGGCUAUUUCUCUUUAUUUAAAAUCGUAAAUUAUUGUUUACAAUUUAUAUUUUUGAAUAAUAUUUCAAGAAAAUGGAAGAAAGAAAGAAGAUUUAUCAACAUUCUGCUACAAGUUAAUGCACCAAUAAUCAGCUUAUCAUAAAACAAAAAAAUAAAAGUAGUACUUUAAUGUUUGAAUGUGAUAUUAAAACUAGAAACUCCAAAGUCAAAAAUGCAUAAUUAUCAAAACUGAAAACUAAGUAAUGCAUAAGAAAUUUUGAGCUGAAGCUUAGGUGAGAAAAAAUGAAAAAAAUGACAUGGUCUAGAAAGUGAUCUAUAAAUUUAUCACCAUGAAACUUUUCCCUAAAUUUAUGUUGUUAAAAGAAGUCUAUAUUCCUUGAAGGCAAUUCUUGUUCAUCAUCUCACAUCAAUCACCACUUUCAGAGCAUGCAAGUAAACAUUCUACCUUUGUUUUUUUUUAUCAUAAUAUCUUUUGUGCAUACAAGAGAUGUCAAGAAAACUAUAUUGGUGGAUUGAUCAAUAAACAAGCAUACUUGUUUAUAUAUUUUUCUAGAAUGCAUACAGCUAGACAAUGGACAUAACUUGAUGUCGUUUGCUGUAAUACAUACACAUAGACAUAGUUAUCAAUGUAUAGGAACAAAACAACAACAAAAACUACUAAGCUUUAAUCUCAAACUAGUAGGGGUCGGCUAUAUGGAUUCUUUU
rnacentral:misc_RNA from 1 species